rnacentral:rRNA from 1 species
CCUACGGGUGGCUGCAGUUAGGAAUCUUGCGCAAUGGGGGAAACCCUGACGCAGCGACGCCGCGUGGGUGAAGAAGGCCUUCGGGUCGUAAAGCCCUUUUCCGAGGGACGAUAAUGACGGUACCUCGGGAAUAAGCCCCGGCUAACUACGUGCCAGCAGCCGCGGUAAUACGUAGGGGGCAAGCGUUGUCCGGAUUUACUGGGCGUAAAGAGCGCGCAGGCGGUCCCGUAAGUUGGCUGUGAAAUCUCCGGGCUCAACUCGGAGGGGUCAGUCGAAACUGGCGGGGCUACGAGGGCGGUAGGGGGAGAUGGAAUUCCCGGUGUAGUGGUGAAAUGCGUAGAUAUCGGGAGGAACACCGAUGGCGAAAGCGAUCUCCUGGGCCGUACCUGACGCUGAGGCGCGAAAGCGUGGGGAGCGAACUGAAUUAGAUACUCAGGUAGUCCACGCCAUAAACGAUGGACACUAGGUGGUGGGGGGUAUCGACCCCUCCCGUGCCGCAGCCAACGCAAUAAGUGUCCCGCCUGGGGAGUACGGCCGCAAGGCUA